UGGCCUUCCCUCGUACGACCCCCACUCCGACAUCAGUAAGAAGCUGGUGCAGCGGGCGAGGCUUUCCGAGAACGCCGUGCACGUUAUCCCCGUCGUCGUCGUCCUCUGCGCCAUCAUCCUCUGGUUCUUCUCCGCCCACGAUUUCUUUACUCUGUCAACUUUGAUUGAUCAACGUUUCAUUCAAUUCACCCCACUGUAUCUUUUGUUGCAAUGGGUCUCCCUCACAUCACAAUCUGCUUGAUAGAACAGAGAUGGAAUCGAGAAUAUGAACGGCGAGGACUGCUGCUAUUCGGAUGUGUGAUCCCUGGAAAUCCGACAAAGAAAAUUAGGCAGACGAUUUGGUGGCUUCCAAGUAAACUAAAGAAGACUUGAAAGAUUAGGAUAUGUUCCAUCCUUCAGAAGAAGAAGAUUAGUCAUUUAGUUUGCUUCCUAUACAGAAUCCUCUGAAUAAAUUCCACGUAUUGGACACCCUUCAACUAAUGAGGAUUUAAUUCUUGUGGAACUUACUUCCUUUGUAAAUACUUUAGAGGAAUACAGAACCCCAUUUUGUUUUC